rnacentral:rRNA from 1 species
GAUGAACGCUAGCUACAGGCUUAACACAUGCAAGUCGAGGGGCAGCAUGGUCUUAGCUUGCUAAGGCUGAUGGCGACCGGCGCACGGGUGAGUAACACGUAUCCAACCUGCCGUCUACUCUUGGCCAGCCUUCUGAAAGGAAGAUUAAUCCAGGAUGGCAUCAUGAGUUCACAUGUCCGCAUGAUUAAAGGUAUUUUCCGGUAGACGAUGGGGAUGCGUUCCAUUAGAUAGUAGGCGGGGUAACGGCCCACCUAGUCAACGAUGGAUAGGGGUUCUGAGAGGAAGGUCCCCCACAUUGGAACUGAGACACGGUCCAAACUCCUACGGGAGGCAGCAGUGAGGAAUAUUGGUCAAUGGGCGAUGGCCUGAACCAGCCAAGUAGCGUGAAGGAUGACUGCCCUAUGGGUUGUAAACUUCUUUUAUAAAGGAAUAAAGUCGGGUAUGCAUACCCGUUUGCAUUACU